rnacentral:rRNA from 1 species
AACGUAGGUGGCAAGCGUUAUCCGGAUUUACUGGGCGUAAAGGGUGUGCAGGCGGAGGCUCAAGUGGUGUAUGAAAUCGCCCGGCUCAACCGGGCGGGGUUAUGCCAGACUGGGUUUCUCGAGACCGAGAGAGGGGCAUGGAAUUCCGGGUGUAGUGGUGAAAUGCGUAGAGAUCCGGAGGAACCCCAGAGGCGAAGGCGGUGCCCUAGCUCGGUUCUGACGCUCAGACACGAAAGCAUGGGGAGCGAACGGG